CUAAUACGGAGGCGCAUUUUUCGUUGGUGGAAAGUUAUUUAGCCUCAGGACUAGAACUGGAAUAGCGCAACUAAUGUUGCAAUAGGCUACAACGAAAUGUCAUUUCAUCUUACACAUGCUAGCUGGCUGAUACCUGAAAACACUUCGAUGCCCUUGAAAUUCGAACGAGAACCUAACGAACUGCUAUAAUUAAAGAUCCGCACACGUGCACAGAAAUCAUCUUCAGAAGACAGCUGACUGUUGGCAGCCUUUAUGUUCGGAUUCCCCAACGGGCGCAUUUACUGUAGAAUGGCCCGGUGAAGAGCUUCGCUGUGCACGGGGAAUUUACUAGAUAAACGGGAACACCCUUCAGUUCAUUUCAGAAAUGACUUUAGUCGAAUUCAAGAACUUGAUAAAGGAACUUAUGACAUGGCAUUUAUUAAAAACCAUGCAAAGAAUAAUGUUGCGUCCCUCACAUAUUUUCCAGGCUGAGAAAGAGAAGUGAAAGUUUCAGCAGGAGCUGUUUCAUGCUCAUCAUUAAGUUGAGUCAGCGAACAAAGAUAAGGCAAGAUGAAACGUACACCAACGAAGUAGAAAAGUCAGAGUUGUUCGUGCAUGAGUACACACUCUGAAUGGAAGAGCUCAAGAGCACUAUUAUCGUCAUCAGCAGCAAAGUACGAACAUGCCUGCACUUUUCACACCGAAAAGAUCAGGCGCAAAUUUCACAUCCAGGUGACUGAAUUGGAAAAAAAAGACCAGUACUUUAAUCUCCAAAUGCUCAGGUUUGGAGAUGAGCACGUCACGUCUACAGAGUGAGGUAGAUGUUCUUAUUAUCGAUUUUGAGAAGGCUGAUAGCACCACCUGAGAGAUGCAAAAGCGCAGCAAGCAACUGGAGCUCAUCAACAUUGAAUUCAAAUCCAAGUUGGAUUAGAUUGAGCAGACUGGCCUAUACGACGCUUCCCAGAGAGAUAAUCGUAACAAGGCGACAGAUAUUUUCCGUUUGACUCACGAACUUGACAAAACGUGCGAACGAAAAGAUCAGCUGACCAGCGAAAACAAGAAAUUGGGCGAUGAGAACGCUUAGCUGAAGAGCCAGUACUCUGAUCAACAGCAGAUUCCGUGAGUUAGACGACGUUAGACGACAAGGUUUGGGUGAAACGAGCUUUCUUAGUAACAAGGCCUCGCCCUCAAUGAAAUUUUGAACUUAACGAAUUUAACUCAUAGUAAACUUGUUUGCUGAUUUCGUUUUACUAUCAUAUGUCACUCUCGAGAUGUUAUUGUAAAUGAAUGGAAAAUAAAGUAUUUGUCAUUAAAAA